UUUUCGCGGCCGGCAGGGGUGCUGGGAGAGAUCUUGCGGAGGGGACACUCCUGGGGGCGGUAGGAGCGAAAGGGACGUCCGCAGAGGAGACGACUGGCGUUUGACGCCUUGCAAGAAGAGAGGGGAAAACCAAGUUCCCAGAGAGGGUCACGAUUGGUCGCGCUUCUUGUGACGUCCAAUGGCAGAGGCCAAAGGGAUUCCGAGGGCAGUCUCGCGGGAAAGAGGCGAGGCAGCCUGACGUCCGUUACCCAAAGUAUAGCUCUGGUCGCCUCUGAAAUUGUCUUAGUUUUUCUUUUUGACCUCUUUGUCCCCUAAUCCUCUUCCAAUAUGAUGUAAGGCCAGGGACUUUAAUUCCUUGUAACCCCAUGGCCUCCCACAUAGUAGGCGCUCAAGUAUUCACCGAAAUAAUAAUACUCCGAGCUGACCUCGCAUAUGAAAAUAAGGAAACCGCAGGUGACAGACAACAGCUAAACAUUUGUUAGACAUUUACGAUGUGCCAGGUUCUUGCUGGGCUCUUUCUCCCUGUGGUUUGCUGAACCAAUCACCUAACCCAAAGCCUCAAGCUUUUAAUCAGCAAAAAUGUUUUGCAGGAGGGGCACCUGGGUGGCUCAGUUGGUUGAGCGUCCAACUUCAGCCCAGGUCAUGAUCUCCCGGCUUGUGAGUUCAAGCUCCACAUCGGACUCCCUGCUGUCAGCGCAGAGCCUGCUUCAGAUCCUUUGUCCCUCUCUCUCUGUCCCUCCCACGCUUGCACUGUUUCAAAAAUAAAACAUUAAAAAAGAAAUAAGAUACUUAUGUUCCAAAUAUUUUAGUUGUCAAAAAUAUAUUUGAGCACAAAUAAAAUUAAGGAGCUUCAAAGUGAAUGUAACAAUUUAAAGAAUACUUCACAUUUUGACCUGUGUUUUUGUAGGUAUUUAAAACCCCGGUUUUGCUUUGAAUUUCAAAUAACUACCUUCAGUACCACAAGAAUAAUGACUAUAGUUUUAUUGUCACUUCUAUUCCUUUUAUGAUCAGAUCAUAAUUAAGAUGCGUUUGCAUACUUAAACUACUCAUCUCAUAGGUCACCUCUUCAUGAGCUCCUUGAAACAGUGUUUCAUUUUUGGGUUCUCUCCUGUCACCCAACUUCUAGAACACAUUAUUUUUUUGCGUUAGGGGCUGUUUAGAUGGGUAUUUCUUCCACAUGUUCUACUAACUCAGGGUUUCUCAAAAUUGAGAGAGUAUUAGAGUGACCUGGAGAGCUUAUGAAAAACAGUUUGCUGGGCCCUGUCCUGCAGUUUCUGAUUUAGGAAUUUUGGAGUAGGGACCCAAGAAUUUGCAUUUGCAGGUUUGGAGAUGAUGUGGGUACCGUUGAGUAUCGACCAUACUUUAUAAACCAUCGCACUAAAUUAAGCUGCUUGAGGGUGGGGGCUGUGCCUUUUUCAUUCCAGGAUCCCCUGCAGCUUCUACCAUAGUACCUGGCACAUAGGAGUUGCUCAAGAAAUAGCUGACUUGAACAAUAGUUCAAAAAGUUUGUUGUACUGAAUCUAGAUUAUAGGUAUAUGAAUGUAUGUGCAUGUAUCCUUAAAUGAGCUGAUACAUAGUAUAGUGAGCUCUGUCUGCUAAAAUUAAAAAAAAAAUCAUUAUUGUAACCUUUCUUUGCUUAACUUCAUCUUCUAAAAUGAUACCCAAACAUUCGAGAGGUGUACGCAGCAAGUCUGCUUAUAAAUGAGAGCGACAGAAUCUUUGCAGUAAGAGCCUCUUUUAAAAAUAACGUAAUUUAUUAAUAUUGAGCAUCAGGAAUUAAAAAAAACUUUUUUUAAUGUUUAUUUUUAAGAGAGAGAGAGAGAGAGAGAGAGACAGAGCAUGAGCGGAGGAGGGGCAGAGACGGAGGGAGACACAGAAUCCGAAGCAGGCUCCAGGCUCUGAGCGGUCAGCACAGAGCCUGAGGCAGGUCUUGAACCCAGCCCUGAGCAUCAGGGAUUUUCAAAAUUGGUUGAGUGCUUCCCACAUGCAGACAGACACAGCAAGAACAUGGUAGCCACAUUAGUUGCCCUCAGGAGCUUAUAGCCAGUGAGGAAGUAAGGAACCGAGAGGAAGUGUGAGGAGGUGUAAUAGGGGAUAUUAAAUUUGGGGAGUAGCUGGGAACUAUGAAAGGAGUCAGUUGUAUCUAUUCAACUCUUAAUCGUCAUUAAUCUGUUAGAAUUCAUCUUUUGUAUAUUCUAUGAAAUACGCCUAACGUGUUUGGUAUGGGCCCUAGGGAUAUUUACUAAAUAUUAAUAAAUGAGGUUAAUAAUUCCUUUGCAAAACUUACGACUUUGAUAUUUCUUCUUCAGUGUAACCAAUCAAAGCAACAUGAGGAAUUUAGAAUUAGUCUGAUGCAGAUACUUGCAUACUUAUGAAACAGCUAUUUAUAUCCAGGUAUCUGUCAUAUGUGA